CCCUUAGAUGUCCGGGGCCGCACGCGCGCUACACUGAAGGAAUCAGCGUGGCUUUCUCCCUGACCCGAAAGGGUUGGGAAACCCGUUGAAUCUCCUUCGUGAUAGGGAUUGGGGCUUGAAAUUGUUCCCCAUGAACGAGGAAUUCCCAGUAAGCGCGGGUCAUAAGCUCGCGUUGAUUACGUCCCUGCCCUUUGUACACACCGCCCGUCGCUCCUACCGAUUGAGUGGUCCGGUGAGGCUUUGGGAUCUGAGCGGAAAGAGCGUUUCGCUGUUUCUGCUCGGAAAACUCAGUCGAACCUUAUCAUUUAGAGGAAGGAGAAGUCGUAACA
rnacentral:rRNA from 1 species